AUUGAACGCUGGCGGCAGGCUUAACACAUGCACGUCGAGCGGUAGAGAGAAGCUUGCUUCUCUUGAGAGCGGCGGACGGGUGAGUAAUGCCUAGGAAUCUGCCUGGUAGUGGGGGAUAACGUUCGGAAACGGACGCUAAUCCUGCGUCCGUCCUACGGGAGAAAGCAGGGGGCCUUAGGGCCUUGCGCUAUCAGAUGAGCCUAGGUCGGAUUAGCUAGUGGGGGGGGUAAUGGCUCACCAAGGCGACGAUCCGUUACUGGUCUGAGAGGAUGAUCAGUCACACUGGAACUGAGACACGGUCCAGACUCCUACGGGAGGCAGCAGUGGGGAAUAUUGGACAAUGGGCGAAAGCCUGAUCCAGCCAUGCCGCGUGUGUGAAGAAGGUCUUCGGAUUGUAAAGCACUUUAAGUUGGGAGGAAGGGUUGUAGAUUAAUACUCUGCAAUUUUGGCGUUACCGACAGAACAAGCACCGGCUAACUCUGUGCCAGCCGCCGCAGUAA
rnacentral:rRNA from 1 species